UGUCUCCUGCGGUAACCGAUGUUUGGUCUGGAACCCUUGAGCCUAAUUACUAACCCCGGGAACUGUAUCCGUGCCGGGCGUGCAAGCCCACCUCGUAGUGGGAAGCCCGAUGGCAUGGAGAGGUGCCCACUUGAGACUACAGUCUCAAGGUCAGUGACUGGAUGACGGCACAGGCGGGAGACAC
rnacentral:other from 1 species